rnacentral:rRNA from 1 species
CCCUUCACUACGGAAUAGUCCCGGGAAACUGGGUUUAAUACCGUAUACGCCCUUCGGGGGAAAGAAUUUCGGUGAGGGAUCGGCCCGCGUUAGAUUAGUUAGUUGGUGGGGUAAUGGCCUACCAAGACUACGAUCUAUAGCUGGUUUGAGAGGAUGAUCAGCAACACUGGGACUGAGACACGGCCCAGACUCCUACGGGAGGCAGCAGUGGGGAAUCUUAGACAAUGGGGGCAACCCUGAUCUAGCGAUGCCGCGUGAGUGAUGAAGGCCUUAGGGUCGUAAAGCUCUUUCGCCUGUGAUGAUAAUGACAGUAGCAGGUAAAGAAACCCCGGCUAACUCCGUGCCAGCAGCCGCGGUAAUACGGAGGGGGUUAGCGUUGUUCGGAAUUACUGGGCGUAAAGCGCACGUAGGCGGAUUAGUCAGUCAGAGGUGAAAUCCCAGGGCUCAACCCUGGAACUGCCUUUGAUACUGCUAGUCUUGAGUUCGAGAGAGGUAAGUGGAAUUCCGAGUGUAGAGGUGAAAUUCGUAGAUAUUCGGAGGAACACCAGUGGCGAAGGCGGCUUACUGGCUCGAUACUGACGCUGAGGUGCGAAAGUGUGGGGAGCAAACAGGAUUAGAUACCCUGGUAGUCCACACCGUAAACGAUGAAUGCCAGUCGUCGGGUAGCAUGCUAUUCGGUGACACACCUAACGGAUUA